AUUGAACGCUGGCGGCAGGCUUAACACAUGCAAGUCGAGCGGGGUGAUGGUGCUUGCACUAUCACUUAGCGGCGGACGGGUGAGUAAUGCUUAGGAAUCUGCCUAUUAGUGGGGGACAACAUCUCGAAAGGGAUGCUAAUACCGCAUACGUCCUACGGGAGAAAGCAGGGGAUCACUUGUGACCUUGCGCUAAUAGAUGAGCCUAAGUCGGAUUAGCUAGUUGGUGGGGUAAAGGCCUACCAAGGGGACGAUCUGUAGCGGGUCUGAGAGGAUGAUCCGCCACACCUGGACUUGCACCCUGCCCAGCCUCCUACGGGAGGCAGCAGUGGGGAAUAUUGGACAAUGGGGGGAACCCUGAUCCAGCCAUGCCGCGUGUGUGAAGAAGGCCUUAUGGUUGUAAAGCACUUUAAGCGAGGAGGAGGCUCUUUUGGUUAAUACCCAAGAUGAGUGGACGUUACUCGCAGAAUAAGCACCGGCUAACCCUGUGCCAGCAGCCGCCGUAA
rnacentral:rRNA from 1 species